UUUGUAAGGUGUUUAACUCGUUUAACAUAAGGACGCUCUUUUCAAAAGGCCCUCUUUUCUCUGUCUAUAUAGCAUAGUGCUAUGGCUGGGACUGUAAAAAUUGAUCAAAUUAUGAUAUUUCAUAGCUCUUUAGAGGUGAUGAUAUAUGUUGGAUGACGAAACAAGGAUAUUGUUCUGGUGCUUGCUUCGACUUGGGUGUUCAGAGAAGUGAAACUUUAACUAAUCUGUUCAGGGAAGCAACAUAUUGCAUUUAAAGUGAAGCUUCCUCUAUGAUAUGGAGAUGCAAUCAUCCAUCUAAAGACAAGGUAUGCUCAUUUCUCUAUUGUGUGAAUUCAACAUGGCUGAGCAACAAUUUAUUUGCUCAUACUUUUUUCAAUAUUAAUGCUUAUUGCAGUUCCUGCUUAGCUUGGGAAAUCCAAAUAAGAAUGUUGCCCUUGCUACACUCAAGAGUACUGACCUAUAAUAUAAAACAAAAAACUAUGGGUGUUGACUUGGUACUCCCUCCGGGAGUAACUGUUUCUUGGUUGACAUAACCACUAAAACAAAAUUAUUAGUCAUAUAGUAAGAUUAACUAUCACAUGUCCUCCAACCUUUAUAUGUUGCUCUUUUGUUUAAAUUUUACUUCCCUGUUAAUUGAUUUUCUUUGAUGGUACCUUGCUAUUCUCAUUUCUUUGUUGUUGUAGAUUGCCAAGAUAAAUCGAUGAUGCAUGGCUCAGAAGUUGAUUACAAGAUCGAGAAGGUGGCUACUACUAG
rnacentral:lncRNA from 1 species